rnacentral:lncRNA from 1 species
UCCCUUGCAACUUCAAGCACAUAAUGACUUCCAAAUUCUGACAUAAAUCAACAUUUCGCUUAAAAAUAAGAAAAACUCAAAAGGUAAGAGUGUUAGUUCGUGUUCACAAAAAAUGAAUUAAACACAUAAACACUGUUUAAAUUAUAGACAAACUCAAUUAUAUCACAUAACGUAAAAACAAUUGUUACGCAUCUUAUUCAAAUAUGUGACCCUUUUAUGCCAAGGGUAUGCCUAUCAAUUUGAGGGAUGUAUACGUCGUUUGAAAAACUCUGUUGCUCCCGAAACACUUAGUACAAAUUUUAUGAACAAAUCAAAUAUGAUUACAAAAUAAGAAGGAAAAAAAAAGAUAUAAAUAAUUAGUCCCGCGCAGGGGUACCAUCCUAAACAAAGCAUUCGUGGAAGGUCCUUCCUUCAUGAACUUUUUGUCAUCUUUAAAUGUCAACACCUUUUGGAUGUAAUGGUAGCUUAUAAAGUUCCUUCUUUAACUAGAUAAAACUAUUAAAAUAAACCUUUAUCCCCAAUGGACAAUGGUUUUGUCAAACGACGUAUACAUCCUUCAAUUUAAACACACAAUUAUGAUCGUCCAUUUAGGCUGAAGGCCAUUUUGGACUCAAGGUAGUCUUUCUAAUAG